UACGGAGGAUCCAAGCGUUAUCCGGAAUUACUGGGCGUAAAGAGUUGCGUAGGCGGUACAGUAAGCGGAGUGUGAAAUCGUGUGGCUCAACCAUGCGGCUAUGCUCUGAACUGCUGAACUAGAGAAUGAGAGAGGUUACUGGAAUUUCUAGUGUAGGAGUGAAAUCCGUAGAUAUUAGAAGGAACACCGAUGGCGUAGGCAGGUAACUGGCUCAUUUCUGACGCUCAGGCACGAAAGCGUGGGGAGCAAACGGG
rnacentral:rRNA from 1 species